UACGUAGGGGGCUAGCGUUGUCCGGAUUUAUUGGGCGUAAAGAGCGUGUAGGCGGCCAUGUAGGUCCGGUGUGAAAACUCGAGGCUUAACCUCGAGAUGUCAUCGGAAACCAUUUGGCUAGAGUCCGGAAGAGGAGAGUGGAAUUCCUGGUGUAGCGGUGAAAUGCGCAGAUAUCAGGAGGAACACCAGUGGCGAAGGCGGUGGUCUGGGCCGGAACUGACGCUGAGGAGCGAAAGCGUGGGUAGCAAACAGG
rnacentral:rRNA from 1 species